AUCGAUUAUUAAAUAAACUGAAAUUAAAUGCAAGUCUCUUGAAUUACAAUCGUUAUAUUUGGCUGGAUAUGAUGGUAAUUCAAAUCAAAUUUUAAUCAUUGAUGUGCGUUAAUAAAAUCAUUAAGUUGAAAAGGGAAACUAUUCCAAACUAAUAUUAUUUUCCUUACUUUAUCGAUUUACUUUGUCAUAGCAGUAUUAACCAGCACAAGUUGCAUAUAUCUUUGGAUCUGCUAUAUAUUCUACAUGGUUCGUUAUUCAGACAUUGGUUCGUUAUUUAGACAAUGGUACAGGUAUGGAUAUACCAGACAACUGCUGGCGAACAAUAUUCUUUCGCAAUCCACCUUUUUUAUAAGUUACGCACAAUGCACCCCUCCGGCGAAUGUGAGGAAAAAUAUUCUCUCGGUAAAUUACAAUUGUAUUGAAUUAAUCUUGCUUGGCGCUUGGAGAGAGCAUCAUGUAGUUUUCUUACCCUUUUUUUCAAUUUAUCUUCUCACAUCUAUUUUACAGUGCAUCUUGGUACGGAACGACUCAUCUUCAACUUUCCAAAAAAGAAUGGCAAAUCAGCAUGGUGAAACCAACCCCAUUGACAAAAAUCACGGUGAAGAAAAGAUAUCGAUGAAGAUUGACAUCCAGACGAAGUUCAAUAAAACUGUAGUAGAAAUUUUGUCAUAGAGUUUAAUAAUGCACUGGGAAAAAAUAAGCAAUAUGAAUAAAGCUUCGGAUGGAGAUAAUACCUCAAGAACAAAGUUGAUAAAUGUGAAUGUUGCACCUGAUAUUUUAAAACUUUCACCAACUCAAAAUAAAAUAAAAAGUGCAGCUACUAACACAUAGGCUUAUCGAAAUUUCAUUUUAAGUCAAACAUGUCUACUAUGCAAACCUCAUUAAGUAUGUUAAAAAUCCUCUCGGGUCUAUUCUUUUUCAUGGCUAUCAAUAGGUCAUAAACAUGAAUACUGGCACUUUCCAAUUCACAAUAUGAAUAAAAGCUCCUGAUACAAAAUAAAACUUAAAGAACAAAGAUUAAAAAUUAAAAUGCUGCCCUCUAAAUGCUGUUUCAAAACAGUUUCCAACUCAGAUAAUGUAUCAGAAAAGUACUACACAGAAUAUACUUAUUGAUAUUUUUUAAAGUUAAUCAUUCAAAAUAAUGCAAACGUUAAUAAAUAUGUUAAAAUCGUAUUUGGGCUAUGUCAUGACAUUUACGGGUCGUGUACGUGGUUAGAGCAUUGGACUCAUAAGAGUAUAAAAGUUGAGAGUUCGAAUCUUCGUUCUGCAAUUGUCUCCACUUUGAUAAAAAGACCCGAGAGUAAUUUAUGUUGUCUAUGCCUGAUUGAUGCAGGAGUCACAUUUCCAAUACGAUGUCCGCAUGGUGAGUCGAAAACAGCCGUUUUACAGAUUUUUACGUUAACCACAUAUAUAAAUAUACUAUAAAGAAACAGUUGUUAAUCAGGCAGCAUCAUAUUAUGUCAUAAUUUCAUAAUGGCUACGUCGCCAAAUUAGCCAAGUCUGGUUUUUCAUUUUUAUGUGAUUGGUGACAUCACAAGGAACAACUGAAUAAAAAUGAAUACUUGACCAUGUUAAGGGUCAUAUUGGGUCAAUGUAAGUUAAUAUUUAAUAAAAUAAUGCCCUGAUUGUGACUCGUAAACUUAUUUGUGUUGUUAUACUAAGCAAAAGAUGUGCAGUGUACAUAGACGUCGGCUUCAUCAUUGCGUUAUCAUGGUAUUGCAGGAAUACCUCGAUACGACUUGACAAACCCUUAAGGGGGUUUUACACAGAGAUCUGCGUAGAGUUGCGUACCUAUGCGUAGAGACUACAUGUACGCAACGCAACGCCUCCCUUCGUUUUGCCUUCGAAACUCUACGCACAAUCGGUACGGGGGCGCGCAAAAAAUUAAA